rnacentral:rRNA from 1 species
UACGUAGGGUGCGAGCGUUAAUCGGAAUUACUGGGCGUAAAGCGUGCGCAGGCGGUUAGUUAAGUCUGAUGUGAAAGCCCCGGGCUCAACUUGGGAAUGGCAUUGGAAACUGGCUGGCUAGAGUGCGGCAGAGGGGGGUGGAAUUCCGCGUGUAGCAGUGAAAUGCGUAGAGAUGCGGAGGAACACCGAUGGCGAAGGCAGCCCCCUGGGCUGACACUGACGCUCAGGCACGAAAGCGUGGGGAUCAAACAGG